rnacentral:rRNA from 1 species
GAUGAACGCUGGCGGCGUGCCUAAUACAUGCAAGUCGAGCGAACGGACGAGAAGCUUGCUUCUCUGAUGUUAGCGGCGGACGGAUGAGUAACACGUGGAUAACCUACCUAUAAGACUGGGAUAACUUCGGGAAACCGGAUCUAAUACCGGAUGAUAUUUUGAACCGCAUGGUUCAAAAGUGAAAGACGGUCUUGCUGUCACUUAUAGAUGGAUCCGCGCUGCAUUAGCUAGUUGGUAAGGUAACGGCUUACCAAGGCAACGAUGCAUAGCCGACCUGAGAGGGUGAUCGGCCACACUGGAACUGAGACACGGUCCAGACUCCUACGGGAGGCAGCAGUAGGGAAUCUUCCGCAAUGGGCGAAAGCCUGACGGAGCAACGCCGCGUGAGUGAUGAAGGUCUUCGGAUCGUAAAACUCUGUUAUUAGGGAAGAACAUAUGUGUAAGUAACUGUGCACAUCUUGACGGUACCUAAUCAGGAAGCCACGGCUAACUACGUG